rnacentral:ncRNA from 1 species
AAUCUGGUAGCACUGGUGUGGAUACCAAAUUUGGUUGCGGCCAUCAGGCCGGACGGACAACAGCUCGGGGAGGUAGUGACGAAAAAUAACAAUACAGGACUCAUAUCCGAGGCCCUGUAAUUGGAAUGAGUACACUUUAAAUCCUUUAACAAGGACCAAUUGGAGGGCAAGUCUGGUGCCAGCAGCCGCGGUAAUUCCAGCUCCAAUAGCGUAUAUUAAAGUUGUUGCGGUUAAAACGUUCGUAGUUGAACUUGUGCUUCAUACGGGUAGUACAACUUACAAUUGUGGUUAGUACUAUACCUUUAUGUAUGUAAGCGUAUUACCGGUGGAGUUCUUAUAUAUAAUUAAGUACUUGUAUUUUUUUCUAUAUUCCUCCUAUUUAAAAACCUGCAUUAGUGCUCUUCAUCGAGUGUUAUUGUGGGCCGGUACAAUUACUUUGAACAAAUUAGAGUGCUUAAAGCAGGCUUCAAAUGCCUGACAUGGUCAGCCCCAAAAACUAAAGAAACGUGUUACCAGAAACUUAGCCACCCACAAAUAAGGUAGUAGGCCAGGAUAAGUA